rnacentral:rRNA from 1 species
CGGAACGUGCCCUAGAGUGGGGGAUAACUAGUCGAAAGAUUAGCUAAUACCGCAUACGAUCUAAGGAUGAAAGUGGGGGAUCGCAAGACCUCAUGCUCUGGGAGCGGCCGAUAUCUGAUUAGCUAGUUGGUGAGGUAAAGGCUCACCAAGGCGACGAUCAGUAGCUGGUCUGAGAGGACGACCAGCCACACUGGGACUGAGACACGGCCCAG